rnacentral:rRNA from 1 species
GUCCGCACCGUAAACUAUGAUUACUCGUUGUUGGCGAUAUGACAGUCAGCGACCAAGCGAAAGCGAUAAGUAAUCCACCUGGGGAGUACGCCGGCAACGGUGAAACUCAAAGGAAUUGACGGGGGUCCGCACAAGCGGAGGAGCAUGUGGUUUAAUUCGAUGAUACGCGAGGAACCUUACCUGGGCUUGAAAGUUAGCGACCGGUCCUGAAAGGGAUCUUCCAGCAAUGGCGCGAAACUAGGUGCUGCAUGGCUGUCGU